CCAAGAUAGGCUGGGGGUAGGAAGCCCAAUACAUUGCUACAUGUUCUUAGGGAUGUCCUGUGUUUAUUUUAUUUAUUUUUAUCUAUUUGUCUAUUUAUAGGUUGGGGUUUAGAAGAUGAAUAUCCAAAGACUAUACUUUCAGUGAUGAUUUCUAUAGUUGGAAUUUGUGUCUGGCAAACCUUGAGUUCUUUCUUGCUUCAGGAGGAAACAUACAUACGGAAGCUAUGAAAUAUGUUCCUGUUCUUGCAAGGCCCUGGAUCACCCCCAAGGCAUUUUGAUUAUGUAACACUAGAAGCAUAGUAGGUGGAGAGGUUUCAAUGGACGAGGGAAGACCCACUCCAACAGUAGACGACACCAUUUCAUGGGCUGCAGUUCUGGACUGAAUAAAAGCAGAACGUGAGCUGAGCACCAGUGGUUGUCACUCAGCUCCCUGACUGUGGGCACUGUGUGACCAGCUGCCUCACGCUUUCCACCAUGACUUACCUCCCAGAUUUGUGGGACUUAACCUCACUCACACUGUGAGCCAAAAUAAUCCCUUCCUUCCUUCAACUGUUUUUGUCAGACAUUUUAUGACAGCAAUGAGAAAAGUUAACUACUACACUGGUGGAAAUAGCAACACCUUUUGAGACUUUAUUACUUUUGCUUAUUUAUGAGUGGGGGUGCGGACAUGUGUAAGCAUGCACCUCCACAGGUCAGAAGAUGACUUUUGGGAGUGAGUUUUCUCCUUUCACAUGUGGGUCCCAGGGAAUGAACACAGGUCUUCAGGCUUGGCAGCAAGUGUGUUCACCCAUGGAUCCACCUUACUGGCUCCCUUCGGACAUUUAAAUUUGGCAUAAGAACACAAAGGAAUGAUCAUUUAAAGUACAAUAUGUGAUCAAAAAUGCCAGGUUUUGUUGUAGCUUGCCUGCACAGUCCAUACUAGGACUGAGGGCCCUGCCAGAGUUGCAGAAUUGAAGCAAAAGUGGUCCUGUAAGGAGCCAACAAAAGGCUAAAGAAAAAAAAAAUCACAGUGCUAGAGUACAAUAAAUGCUGUUAGGAAGUACUGUAGACUACAAGGACAGUAGAAGCUGCAGGUGCAGCUGGUGCUACAUUAGAGCCACAUGCCAGAGCUACUCAGACACUUGUUGCUUCUUUGUGUGGGUCCGUCCACAUCUAAGGCGUGGGGCAAGAAGGCACAGCAUACACUAUUUCUCAUGAACACGGAUGGGCACUGCUGAAGGAGAAAUCAUUCUGCACUUGGCUUUCAACUAAGGUCACUUGGAA
rnacentral:lncRNA from 1 species